rnacentral:rRNA from 1 species
ACACUCCUACGGGAGGCAGCAGUGGGGAAUAUUGGACAAUGGGCGCAAGCCUGAUCCAGCCAUGCCGCGUGAGUGAUGAAGGCCUUAGGGUUGUAAAGCUCUUUCACCGAUGAAGAUAAUGACGGUAGUCGGAGAAGAAGCCCCGGCUAACUUCGUGCCAGCAGCCGCGGUAAUACGAAGGGGGCUAGCGUUGUUCGGAAUUACUGGGCGUAAAGCGCACGUAGGCGGAUAUUUAAGUCAGGGGUGAAAUCCCGCAGCUCAACUGCGGAACUGCCUUUGAUACUGGGUAUCUUGAGUAUGGAAGAGGUAAGUGGAAUUCCGAGUGUAGAGGUGAAAUUCGUAGAUAUUCGGAGGAACACCAGUGGCGAAGGCGGCUUACUGGUCCAUUACUGACGCUGAGGUGCGAAAGCGUGGGGAGCAAACAGGAUUAGAAACCCCAGUAGUCCCAU